AUUGAACGCUGGCGGCAGGCUUAACACAUGCAAGUCGAGCGGGGUGAUGGUGCUUGCACUAUCACUUAGCGGCGGACGGGUGAGUAAUGCUUAGGAAUCUGCCUAUUAGUGGGGGACAACAUCUCGAAAGGGAUGCUAAUACCGAAUACGACCUACGGGAGAAAGCAGGGGAUCACUUGUGACCUUGCGCUACUAGAUGAGUCUAAGUCGUAUUAGCUAGUUGGUGGGGUAAAGGCCUACCAAGGCGACGAUCUGUAGCGGGUCCGAGAGGAUGAUCCUCCUCACUGGGACUGAGACACGGCCCAGACUCCUACGGGAGGCAGCAGUGGGGAAUAUUGGACAAUGGGGGGAACCCUGAUCCAGCCAUGCCGCGUGUGUGAAGAAGGCCUUAUGGUUGUAAAGCACUUUAAGCGAGGAGGAGGCUCUUUUGGUUAAUACCCAAGAUGAGUGGACGUUACUCGCAGAAUAAGCACCGGCUAACUCUGUGCCAGCAGCCGCGGUAA
rnacentral:rRNA from 1 species